rnacentral:rRNA from 1 species
GAUGAACGCUGGCGGCGUGCCUAAUACAUGCAAGUCGAGCGAACAGACGAGGAGCUUGCUCCUCUGACGUUAGCGGCGGACGGGUGAGUAACACGUGGAUAACCUACCUAUAAGACUGGGAUAACUUCGGGAAACCGGAGCUAAUACCGGAUAAUAUAUUGAACCGCAUGGUUCAAUAGUGAAAGACGGUUUUGCUGUCACUUAUAGAUGGAUCCGCGCCGCAUUAGCUAGUUGGUACGGUAACGGCUUACCAAGGCAACGAUGCGUAGCCGACCUGAGAGGGUGAUCGGCCACACUGGAACUGAGACACGGUCCAGACGCCUACGGGAGGCAGCAGUAGGGAAUCUUCCGUAAUGGGCGAAAGCCUGACGGAGCAACGCCGCGUGAGUGAUGAAGGUCUUCGGAUCGUAAAACUCUGUUAUUAGGGAAGAACAAAUGUGUAAGUAACUAUGCACGUCUUGACGGUACCUAAUCAGAAAGCCACGGCUAACUACGUG